UAAUACGAAGGUGGCAAGCGUUGUUCGGAUUCACUGGGCGUACAGGGAGCGUAGGCGGUUAGGUAAGCCCUCCGUGAAAUCUCCGGGCCUAACCCGGAAAGUGCAGAGGGGACUGCUUGGCUAGAGGAUGGGAGAGGAGCGCGGAAUUCCCGGUGUAGCGGUGAAAUGCGUAGAGAUCGGGAGGAAGGCCGGUGGCGAAGGCGGCGCUCUGGAACAUUUCUGACGCUGAGGCUCGAAAGCGUGGGGAGCAAACAGGAUUAGAUACCCUGGUAGUCCACGCCUUAAACUAUGGAUACUAAGUGUCGGCGGGUUACCGCCGGUGCCGCAGCUAACGCAGUAAGUAUCCCGCCUGGGAAGUACGGCCGCAAGGUUGAAACUUAAAGGAAUUGACGG
rnacentral:rRNA from 1 species